UACGGAGGGUGCAAGCGUUAAUCGGAAUUACUGGGCGUAAAGCGCACGCAGGUGGCUGAGAAAGUCGAUUGUGAAAGCCCUGGGCUUAACCUGGGAGUUGCAGUCGAAACUACUCGGCUAGAGUAUGGGAGAGGACAGUGGAAUUCCCGGUGUAGCGGUGAAAUGCGUAGAUAUCGGGAGGAACAUCAGUGGCGAAGGCGGCGACCUGGGCCAAUAUUGACGCUGAGGUGCGAAAGCGUGGGGAGCAAACAGG
rnacentral:rRNA from 1 species